rnacentral:rRNA from 1 species
CGCAUGGCAGCGAGCUAACACAUGCAGUCGAACGAUGAUGCCCAGCUUGCUGGGCGGAUUAGUGGCGAACGGGUGAGUAAUACGUGAGUAACCUGCCCUUGACUCUGGGAUAAGCCUGGGAAACUGGGUCUAAUACUGGAUACUACCUCUUACCGCAUGGUGGGUGGUGGAAAGGGUUUUACUGGUUUUGGAUGGGCUCACGGCCUAUCAGCUUGUUGGUGGGGUAAUGGCUCACCAAGGCGACGACGGGUAGCCGGCCUGAGAGGGUGACCGGCCACACUGGGACUGAGACACGGCCCAGACUCCUACGGGAGGCAGCAGUGGGGAAUAUUGCACAAUGGGCGGAAGCCUGAUGCAGCGACGCCGCGUGAGGGAUGACGGCCUUCGGGUUGUAAACCUCUUUCAGUAGGGAAGAAGCGAGAGUGACGGUACCUGCAGAAGAAGCGCCGGCUAACUACGUGCCAGCAGCCGCGGUAAUACGUAGGGCGCAAGCGUUGUCCGGAAUUAUUGGGCGUAAAGAGCUCGUAGGCGGUUUGUCGCGUCUGCUGUGAAAGCCCGGGGCUCAACCCCGGGUCUGCAGUGGGUACGGGCAGACUAGAGUGCAGUAGGGGAGACUGGAAUUCCUGGUGUAGCGGUGAAAUGCGCAGAUAUCAGGAGGAACACCGAUGGACGAAGGCAGGUCUCUGGGCUGUUACUGACGCUGAGGAGCGAAAGGCAUGGGGAGCGAACAGGAUUAGAUACCCUGCUAGUCCCAUGCCGUAAACCGUUUGGGCACUAGGUGUGGGGGACAUUGCACGUUUUUCCGCGCCGUAGCUAACGCAUUAAGUGCCCCCGCCUGGGGAGUACGGCCGCAAGGCUAAAACUCAAAGGAAUUGACGGGGGCCCGCACAAGCGGCGGAGCAUGCGGAUUAAUUCGAUGCAACGCGAAGAACCUUACCAAGGCUUGACAUUCACCGGACCGCCCCAGAGAUGGGGUUUCCCUUCGGGGCUGGUGGACAGGUGGUGCAUGGUUGUCGUCAGCUCGUGUCGUGAGAUGUUGGGUUAAGUCCCGCAACGAGCGCAACCCUCGUUCUAUGUUGCCAGCACGUGAUGGUGGGGACUCAUAGGAGACUGCCGGGGUCAACUCGGAGGAAGGUGGGGAUGACGUCAAAUCAUCAUGCCCCUUAUGUCUUGGGCUUCACGCAUGCUACAAUGGCCGGUACAAAGGGUUGCGAUACUGUGAGGUGGAGCUAAUCCCAAAAAGCCGGUCUCAGUUCGGAUUGAGGUCUGCAACUCGACCUCAUGAAGUCGGAGUCGCUAGUAAUCGCAGAUCAGCAACGCUGCGGUGAAUACGUUCCCGGGCCUUGUACACACCGCCCGUCAAGUCACGAAAGUUGGUAACACCCGAAGCCGGUGGCCUAACCCCUUGUGGGAGGGAGCCGUCGAAGGUGGGACUGGCGAUUGGACUAAGACGAACAGAGAUGACACUACGG